rnacentral:rRNA from 1 species
AUUGAACGCUGGGGGCAGGCUUAACACAUGCAAGUCGAGCGGGGAAGGGUAGCUUGCUACCUGACCUAGCGGCGGACGGGUGAGUAAUGCUUAGGAAUCUGCCUAUUAGUGGGGGACAACAUUCCGAAAGGAAUGCUAAUACCGCAUACGUCCUACGGGAGAAAGCAGGGGAUCUUCGGACCUUGCGCUAAUCGAUGAGCCUAAGUCAGAUUAACUAGUUGGUGGGGUAAAGGCCUACCAAGGCGACGAUCUGUAGCGGGUCUGAGAGGAUGAUCCGCCACACUGGGACUGAGACACGGCCCAGACUCCUACGGGAGGCAGCAGUGGGGAAUAUUGGACAAUGGGCGAAAGCCUGAUCCAGCCAUGCCGCGUGUGUGAAGAAGGCCUUUUGGUUGUAAAGCACUUUAAGCGAGGAGGAGGCUACUUGGAUUAAUACUCUAGGAUAGUGGACGUUACUCGCAGAAUAAGCACCGGCUAACUCUGUGCCAGCAGCCGCGGUAA